AGGCCGCCCGAGUGCGUAUGGCAAGGUACUAGCAAAAGACAGCUCAGUACUACAAUGCCAGGGUCAAAGUCAAAUCUUUCAGACCAGGGGACCUUGUCCUCAGAAGAGCUGAAGCCUCCCGACCAACUGAGCAAGAGAAGCUGGCCCCGAAUUGGGAAGGACCAUACCGAGUCACGUGCAUCCGCCGACCCGGGACUUAUAAGCUAGAGUCCCUAGACGGGACUCCCAUUCCGCGGAGUUGGAGCUCUGAAAAUCUCCGUGUGUACCACCAGUAGAACCCUAAGGGGUUCCCCAUUAUUCAACCAUUGAAUUUCAUUCUAUGAAUUUCAUUUCACAAUAAACUGAUGGUUUGCGUGCUUAUUCCGAGCUCACCAAUUCUCCUGAUUAUCUCAUGCUAUCAGGUUUAUUCUUCUUCCCUGACCACGGUUGGGAUGCCCCGGUGCCUCGGAAUGAUGGAGUACCUACGUGGGCUUCCUGAAGAUGUUCGUGAGUUCGUGGCGCGCUCUCCACCGGCAACGAGCUCGGCUCGUGCUCCAUCGACUAUUGAGUAGCGGUCCUCUCUGACCGGACGAGCUCGGCUCGUGCUCCAUCGACUAUGAGUAGCGGUCCUCUCUGACCGGACGAGCUCGGCUCGUGCUCCAUCGACUAUGAGUAGCGGUCCUCUCUGACCGGACGAGCUCGGCUCGU
rnacentral:lncRNA from 1 species